AACGUGUGGCUGUGCGGUGCUGACCCGUUUUAGGACGAGCGUCGGUGCUGCAGGUCAUCCUUCUGGAGAGCGUUUCUGCCCUUGAGUGGGUUGGUUGCGCGAUUCAGAUCCUUUACUGUGAGUAAAUCAGGGUGUUCAAAGCAGGCUUUAAGCUUGAAUGGUUCAGCAUGGAAUAAUGAGAUAGGACUUUGGUUUUAUUUUGUUGGCUGUUGACCAGAGUAAUGAUUGAUAGGGAUAGUUGGGGGUGCUAGUAUUGAGUGGUCAGCGGUGAAAUGCAUGGACCCAUUCAAGACUAACUUAUGCGAAAGCAUU
rnacentral:rRNA from 1 species